rnacentral:rRNA from 1 species
GAUGAACGCUAGCGGGAGGCUUAAUACAUGCAAGUCGAGCGGGAUUCUCCUUUCGGGAGAUGAGAGCGGCGCACGGGUGAGUAACGCGUACGUAACCUGCCUUACAGAGGGGAAUAGCCCUGGGAAACUGGGAUUAAUACUCCCAUAGUAUAUAGAUGGCGCAUGCUGUUUAUAUUAAAGUUGAGGCGCUGUAAGAUGGGCGUGCGUGCUAUUAGCUAGUUGGUGAGGUAACGGCUCACCAAGGCUACGAUAGCUAGGGGCGUGAGAGCGUGGCCCCCCCAACGGGUACUGAGACACGGACCCGACUCCUACGGGAGGCAGCAGUAA